CUUCUUAAGGAGAAUUUGCAGAAAAUUCAGAAUAGAAUAAGACAACAGGCUGACAAGAAUUGAACAGAGAGAGAAUUUGUAGUAGGGAAUUGGGUUUUUUUGAAGCUUCAACCUUAUAGGCAAGCUUCAGUGGCUGUGAGGCAAUCUCUUAAGCUAUCUGCUCGGUAUUAUGGUCCUUUUGAAAUAUUAGCAAAGUUGGGACAGGUAGCUUAUAAGUUGGCCUUACCUGCAUCUUCAUCUAUCCAUCCUGUCUUCCAUGUUUCUAUGCUCAAAAAGAAAUUGGGAGAUGGUGUUACACCUAUUAGAGAACUGCCUUUGUACCAUGAAGAUCAGUCAGUUGUUGCUCUUGAGGAGGUGUUGCAAACCAGAGUUAUUUUGAGAGGUGAUCAACGGGUUGAGCAAGGCCUCAUUAAAUGGGUUAAUCUUCCACUUGAGGAUGCUACUUGGGAAGAUAAAAGUUUCAUCACUGCUCAAUUUCCAGAUUGUUCACUUUCUUGGGGACAAGAAAGUGCUUAAGAAGGGGGUAUUGUUACAUAUAAUAGAAGGAGGUAUAGGAAUAAGG
rnacentral:misc_RNA from 1 species